rnacentral:lncRNA from 1 species
AGAGAGGAGAAAGAGAACUAGAGACAGAGAGAGGCAGACAAGGAAGGGGGGGGGGGGUGAAAGACUUUCUUUUUCUUUCUAGAGGAAUUCUGCCCAGACUCUGCAGCAGUUGGUAGCAGGCAAGCUUUCUCCUGGGUGUCGCCUUGAAAAGUUGCAAAAUUGCUCUUCACCUGUAAGAACAUGCUCUUUAUCUUCCAGUCUCUUCUUGUCAAUUUGGAAAUUGCAGACUGCCCGGCUCAGAAGAGAAGACUAGUGCUCUGAGAGAAGAUUCCCUAGCAGUGGAAACGGAUUCACCUCUGGCGCUGUUUCAAGUCACUGAACUUAUCUAACAAGCUGGUGCACAAGUGCCCUUGGCAUUGCCCUCGUAGCUCUGGCUGGGCCACAGAAAAUGGGUCACUUGGCCUAAGACCAUUUGUGGGAGAAAUGAUAUGGAUGGAUCAGAUGGUGAUGAUAGUGGAGGCCCUGCAGGAAGGCGAGGCAGACCAACAUUCAAAAUAUUCUUCUGCCUCUGCCGCUCCUGAGACAGUAAGACCAACCCCUCCUCUUCCUCCUCCUCCACAGCCUACUCAGUGUGAAGAUGAUGAGGAUGAAAACCUUUAUGAUGAUCCACUUCCACUUCAUGAAUGAA